rnacentral:siRNA from 1 species
GACAAUCUACAUAAUGCGCGCGCU